UACGAGGGGUCUAAGCGUUGUUCGGAAUCACUGGGCGUAAAGCGGGUGUAGGUGGCUUGGUAAGUUAGGUGUGAAAUCCCCGGGCUCAACCCGGGAAGUGCAUCUAAAACUACUUAGCUUGAGUACGGGAGAGGGAAGCAGAAUUCCUGGUGUAGUGGUGAAAUACGUAGAUAUCAGGAGGAACACCGGUGGCGAAGGCGGUUUCCUGGCCCAGUACUGACACUCAGACCCGAAAGCGUGGGUAGCAAACAGG
rnacentral:rRNA from 1 species